GCUCGUCCCUCCCCUUCCUCCUCCUCCUCCUUCCACUCGGCUCCAGAAAACCCUGGGCGUGAUGGGUACUUUGCAGGGUCACCAGGGGUUGAGAAGAAUCCUGGUUAAUGCUGGGCUUUGGAAAGGGAGAGCAUUCGCGGCCCCCCCCCUCCCGCGACAUCCGCGCGGGGAGUGGGAGGAUUGGAAUUUCCCUGACGCCCUCCAGAGAGCCUGGAGCCGGGAUGGAACCGUAGCAGGUGGCAGGGAGUAGAGAGAGUGCGCCAGUGACCCGGAAAAAGCCACCCACCCUCCCACCGACUGGUACUGAACGAGGGGUGGAGACCCCCUGCUUCUAGAUCUAGCCUCGCAAGACAGCUGCGGAAAGUGGGAGGUGGCCUGGCCCCCCGGAGCGGCCCAAUUCCUUUUUUCCCUUGCCCGCUCUCCAGUUGGGGAGAAGGGGAGAGUGGCUGCGAGGUUGUCACGCUCCUGAAAGCCCCUACCCGACUCCAUUUCAUUUAAACAGGAGUUUAUGAAGUAAGUCAAAUGAAGCAAUACAUGUAAAGCGCUUUGAAGUCACCCAGCCCGCCUACGUAUCUGUUUGUUAAAUGAAAUAAAACUAUAUUAAAUGCAA